UCAACAGCCACGCUGAUGUGUCUGGCCAAUAAGGGCUUCCCCUCAGACUGGACCAUGAGCUGGAAAGUGGACGGGACCAGCAAGAAGCAGGAGGCCAGUCCCGGGGUCCAGGAGAAGGACGGCCUGUACAGCUGGAGCAGCACACUGACUCUCACUGCCCAGGAGUGGACCAAGGCAGGAGAGGUGACCUGUGAAGCCCAGCAGAAAUCCCAGACUCCAGUCACCAAGACCCUGAGGAGGGCUGACUGUCCUGGGUAGGACCCCUCAGUCACA